GGAGAUUUAGCUCAGAUGGUAAAGCACUCGCUUAACAUGUGAGAGGUACCUGGUUCGAGUCACAGCGUAUCCA